CGUAGGUGGCAAGCGUUGUCCGGAAUUAUUGGGCGUAAAGCGCGCGCAGGCGGCCUCUUAAGUCUGAUGUGAAAGCCCCCGGCUCAACCGGGAGGGCCAUUGGAACUAGGGAGGCUUGAGUAUAGGAGAGAAGAGUGGAAUUCCACGUGUAGCGGUGAAAUAGCGUAGAGAUGUGGAGGAACACCAGUGGCGAAGGCGACUCUUUGGUCCUAUAACUGACGCUGAGGCGCGAAAGCGUGGGGAGGCAAACAGGAUU
rnacentral:rRNA from 1 species